rnacentral:snoRNA from 1 species
AUGUUUAUGAUGAAAACCUUACUCAGCUCACUCAGAGUCUCUGACUAUGCUGAUAAACUUUCCUUUUUCCAACAUUCAUCAAAAAGCUGAUAUCAACAU